AGCUCUGCGGUUGCCACGGAGACCACAGCCCAAAGUGUUUACUGUGUGCCCCUUGGCAGAAGAAGUUCACCGAGACCCCGCUUUACGUGAUACAUUUCCCAUCCAAAGCGCAGUUCGCCAACACUGAUCCACAGGGCAACCACAUGACAGUUUUGGCCAGAGGCUGGGCUUACAGAGGUGAAUAAAGCUGGGAUUCCAUUUUUGGAGGAAUCAGGACAUAAACAAAUAAUCUCAAUACAACUCAGAAGGACAUCAGAGUAGAAUCAGACGUUUUAUUUUUCCUACAAAGUGGACCCUGGAAACCCGACCAUUUUGUUCUUUCAAACUUUGAAAUUUUCAAAUGAUAAUUAUGGGCUAAGAUCUCUUUCUCUCUCCAGUUUUUUUUUUUAAAAGGAAUAAAUACCGGAGAUGAAACUAUUUCUGUGAAAUUACUCAUUAACUUUUGCAGGAAAGAUCAACUUACUGGAAUGUUUCGUAAUUGCCAAAUUCGCUCUGGGCUCCCUACUACACAGUUCUCAUCUCUAUGUUGAGAAUGGAAAAAAAAAAAAAAGGUAUCAAGACAUCAAGGGAGACGAGGUCAGUUAAAAGAGCCAGACUUUUGUUUUUUAAGAUUGAGUUCUUAAAUUGGAAUCCGUAUUAACUAGGUCACAAAUUAACCUUUUGCUGAAAAAGGCAUGAGGGACAGAGACAGUGGCUGCGUUCAACCACGAUUUCAUUAUCUACUAUCUGUCUUUGCAACUCAACCAGGUAUCAGGUGAAUUAAGGGGAAAACCAAUUUCUACAUCCCGUGGAUGUGAUGAAAUUGAUUAUCCUCAGGCAGUACAAAGGAAGACCGAAAAUAACGGGUGCAGCUCCCCAUCUGUGCGUCUGUCCUGCCCUGAUAACUGUUUAUUUGCGCUGGCUGUUGACGACGCUUUUGUACCACACAAAGAAGGUUUUUCACUGAGCUUCAAAAGGAGAAACAGAAUGCAUCCGUUUCUAGGGAAACCUGAGCGGGGAGGCUCGCAGGCUUGGAUUCAUAGAACGCAUCCCAACACACACGGUGGCCCAUUGUAUAGUAACACCCCUCCUCCUCAUUUACCUCAUCCCGUUUGAAAAAUUAAUGCAACAAUGAGAGAUGAUUGUUGAUGUUCGUUAUUAAAUCAUUUAUUCAUCCCA